rnacentral:lncRNA from 15 species
GCUAUUGGCUGUCUCACCAUGUUGCUUUGAGUAUGAUUGGUCAAUGUGGCUGUCAUCCAGGAAACUGGCCAAUGAGCACUGAGCGCGCCUUCAUUUGAAAGUACGUCAGUUUGAACGCUGCAGGACUUCAGCGCUACUCUGUAGGUCCACUCUAAUGAAUUACGUGGAUCAUUAUCUGGAUUAUUUUACAUCUGCACGCCAAAUUAUUAACAUUAUUUGAGUGAAUUUGAGUUGUGGGAUUUCAACGGAGAACAAAACAACAAAACAAAAACGGGAAAAUGGACACCGUGGAAACUUCACGUUAUAACUGUUAUCAGGCGAUAUCAGGUAAGAAAACAUGUCCCUGUUAUUUCUAAGGUAAUAACCUAACAAAAUAUUUGUGUUCAUAUCCAUAAUGUAGACUGUAACGUUGUCAGACUCUUGUGAUGUUACAUGCAACUUAAUAUUAGCUAAUAUUAACGUUAGCUUGUUAAGCGCCUCAUGAUUCAUGUCAGCAACACACAACGUUAAUAUUGAGUGUGGGUUUAGUCGGGAUGGGUUGUUCUGUUUACAGGCAGCAAAUCUUUAUCAUACAUUAACAUUAUGUUACUAAUGUUACAGACACUGUUGCUGAGUCAACCCAAUAAUAGCGUUAACUUGUAAUUGUAUAACGGUAGCAACUUUGGUGAGUGGUAACAGCCUUACUGCCUUCUGAAAAUAUUAAUUUAAAAGUUAUAAUGCAGCCUAACUUCUGUUCACAACGUGUGUGUAGGUGUGUGUGUGUGUGUGUGUGUGUGUGUGUGUGUAUGUGAGAGAGAGAGAGAGAGAGAGACUAGAGUGCUUUGAGUGGUUGAUAAUACAGAAAAGCACUAUACAUGCAAGAACAAUCCAUUUACCAUAUUCUUCACUGUGUCAGAACCUAUAGUUGUGCAUCACCUGUGUGAUCAUGAAAAGGCUGAAGAACCAGGAGUGACAAGAUAUCACCGGCUGCUGGGUUGCAGCAUUAAACCCAGGGACAGACAUUUUGGAAAUGAAAAGUCUCCUGCCACAAGAUCUUCGGAGCCAGUGAGUGUUCAUGUUAUCCUGACAUAAAGACUGUGAAUGGAUAAUGUGCAUACUAGUGGCCAUAUUACUGCCAGUUUGUCAGCACAAAGACAAACAAUAUUGUACUCAUCUAUGCUGUGUAUGAAUCCAGUGGUGCCAAAUGGUUAACAAUGGUUAAACAACUUCUUUCAAAUAUGAAAAUGUACAUAGUGGCUCAAACAUGAAUCCCAUUCCACACAUAAACAUGAAUCCCUGUUUUCUAUGACUUUUCCAUCAUGCAGUAGUAUUUGUAACACAGUAUUGUAAGUUGGCUAGUCAUUCCCCAAAGUUAUCCAGGAAAUAGCUCUGCAGUCCAAUGGCCACUUUAACGUCCUUUCUGAGUACUACUACUAACUAUAAUGUCUCAUCAAUUUAAAUGAAGUUUGUUUAAAAGAG